UCACUUAUCCUUUAGCAUUAUUCGCGAAGGUACCCUUUUAUGUCUAAAAUCUUGUUGAUUUAUUGAUUGCAAUAAGGAUUAAAAUCUGCCUGUACACAUAAACUGGAAAGAAAACACAGAAACUGUCCUGUUUGCUACGCCUGUGAAGAGUGUGGGGGGGAUUUUAAGAAAACCUAUACCCCAACCAAACACAAGACCGCCGGCGGUAUUGGACAGAGGUCUAAGAAGAAAAGAUGUUCUGAUUGCGGUACAAUAAACUUUGUUAAACAGUGAAUAAUUUCUUUAAGAAAAUAAU